GGACCGGUGACGGCGAGCGAAUCCCAAAAAGAAGCGUCCCAGUUCGGAUUGUAGUCUGCAACUCGACUACAUGAAGCCGGAAUCGCUAGUAAUCGCGGAUCAGAAUGCCGCGGUAAAUACGUUCCCGGGUCUUGUACACACCGCCCGUCACACCAUGGGAGCCGGAAAUGCCCGAAGUCAGUGACCCAACCGCGAGGAGGGAGCUGCCGAAGGCAGGUCUGGUAACUGGGGUGAAGUCGUAACAAGGUAGC
rnacentral:rRNA from 1 species